ACUUUGUGAUAUCUCAAAACCCAGAAAACAACGCUGUAGUCCAAAACCAGCCAUUCAUUGUAAAGUGAAAUAUCUCCCUUUGGAGUGGACCUUGAGAUUUGUAACUUUGUAUAUCUUUUUUAUGCCCAAACAUACACACUACACACUGACUAAAAUUCAAGUGUGUGUGUGUGUGUGUGUGUGUGUGUGUUCCAGGCGGUCCAAGUCUGACAAGACUCAACACAAACUCAGAAAGGCUCCGUCACACACUCUGCUUGGGUCACUGCUGGGCCACAGCAACGACAGCCAGCAAAACGCACCCCGCACUGUCAAACAGACACAUCUGAAAGCUGAGAGGUGGACUGACUAACAGGCCUAUUCCACAGCUCAGUGCUGCAACACACACACACACAGCUAGCUUCUCGACACAAUCCAGUGUAGCUAUAUGUGACGUAUAAACUAAUUAUACAUCCAACAUUGUAACAAACCACACAGUAAAAAUGGAACUCAGUAUAUUUCUGUACAUUAUGUUGUCAUUCCUUCAAUAAAGAUUUUUUUCCCACUCACAAUCAUCAGAUUUUCAUAAAAGCAUGUUUCAUCUUCAGUGUACAUCUCUCAGAGUAUGUCUAUAUCUCACAAGUACAGCUUUAUUUCUUAUUAAAAUUCUUUAAUCUCACAAUUAUGAUUUAUUUUUUUAACUCUGAAGUGGAAAAGGCUUCCAUACUGUAAAACUGUGCUGUUACUUAACGCAAUCAAACUUAAAACGUACAUCUAAUGGACAACAAAACACCCCCAAGAAUCUCAGACUAACACUGCUGGAAUGACUUGUGAAUGAUUGUGAUGUUUUUAUCAGCUGUUUGGACUCUCAUUCUGACGGCACCCAUUCACUGCAGAGGAUCCGUUGGUGAGAAUGUUAUGUAAUGCUACAUUUCUCCAAAUCUUUUCCAAUGAACAAACAAACUAUCUUCAUCUUAUAUGGCCUGAGUGUCAGUACUUCUCACUCUUUUUUUUAACAUAAUUGUUGACUGAUAAUCUUAGUAACUACAUUUUUUUAUUAUGACAGUAACACUUACAUGUAAGCCUAUAUUUGCUUUAAAAAGUUGCAAAACAAGUGGCCAUGAACUCGCAUAAACAAAUGACCAUUUUGCAGACACCUGCUGGUUCACAUGGCUGUCAGUCACUCUCUGACCCCCAGGAGUGUCUGACAGCGGGAGAGGGUGGGAUCGAUGACUUGAGCUGAUACAGAGUAAUUAGCUAAAUCACUGGAAUCAAAAUGACUAUUGAACGAGUGUGCAUCUGUCUGACCACAGAAAGAGCAUGAGAGUUUUAAAACACCUCACACCUAGAGACAGGCUGUCAGAUGUAAUCGGUCAGUUGCUAGUAUUUCUACAGAGGGAGUCAGGGAACUGAGUUAUAAAUUUAAGGCCUCAUUCUGUUGUUGGUC
ensembl:lncRNA